rnacentral:rRNA from 1 species
AACAGGACGUCACAGAGGGUGAGAAUCCCGUACGUGGUCGCUAGCUAUUGCCGUGUAAAGCCUCUUCGACGAGUCGAGUUGUUUGGGAAUGCAGCUCUAAAUGGGAGGUAAAUUUCUUCUAAAGCUAAAUACUGGCCAGAGACCGAUAGCGCACAAGUAGAGUGAUCGAAAGAUGAAAAGCACUUUGGAAAGAGAGUCAAACAGCACGUGAAAUUGUUGAAAGGGAAGCGCUUGCAGCCAGACUUGCUUGCAGUUGCUCACCCGGGCCUCUGUGCCCGGUGCAUUCUUCUGCAGGCAGGCCAGCAUCAGUUUGGGCGGUGGGAUAAAGGUCUCUGUCACGUACCUCUCUUCGGGGAGGCCUUAUAGGGGAGACGACAUACCACCAGCCUGGACUGAGGUCCGCGCAUUUAUGCUAGGAUGCUGGCGUAAUGGCUGUAAGCGGCCCGUCUUGAAACACGGACCAAGGAGUCUAACAUCUAUGCGAGUGUUUGGGUGUCAAGCCCGAACGCGUAAUGAAAGUGAACGGAGGUGGGAACCCGCAAGGGUGCACCAUCGACCGAUCCUGAUGUCUUCGGAAGGAUUUGAGUAAGAGCAUGGCUGUUGGGACCCGAAAGAUGGUGAACUAUGCUUGAAUAGGGUGAAGCCAGAGGAAACUCUGGUGGAGGCUCGCAGCGGUUCUGACGUGCAAAUCGAUCGUCAAAUUUGGGCAUAGGGGCGAAAGACUAAU